rnacentral:rRNA from 1 species
UACAGAGGUGGCAAGCGUUGUUCGGAAUUACUGGGCGUAAAGGGCGCGUAGGCGGUUCGUUAAGUCCUGUGUGAAAUCCCCCGGCUCAACUGGGGAACUGCACAGGAAACUAGCGGGCUUGAGUUCGGGAGAGGGUAGUGGAAUUCCCGGUGUAGUGGUGAAAUGCGUAGAUAUCGGGAGGAACACCAGUGGCGAAGGCGACUACCUGGCCUGUUCUUGACGCUGAGGCGCGAAAGCUAGGGGAGCAACGGG